rnacentral:rRNA from 1 species
UACGUAGGGUGCAAGCGUUAAUCGGAAUUAUUGGGCGUAAAGGGCGCGUAGGCGGCUUGAUGUGUCAAAGGUGAAAUCCCUCGGCUCAACUGAGGAACUGCCUUUGAAACUGUCUGGCUUGAGGCCGGGAGAGGGUAGCGGAAUUCCCAGUGUAGCGGUGAAAUGCGUAGAUACUGGGAGGAACACCGGUGGCGAAGGCGGCUACCUGGACCGGUUCUGACGCUGAUGCGCGAAAGCGUGGGUAGCAAACAGG